UGGUGGAGUGAUUUGUCUGGUUAAUUCCGAUAACGAACGAGACCUCAACCUACUAACUAGUUGCAGCUUCUUUCAAGUUGUAGACUUCUUAGAGGGACUGUAGGAUUUAACCUAAGGAAGUUUGAGGCAAUAACA
rnacentral:rRNA from 1 species